rfam:Schistosoma curassoni strain Dakar, Senegal genome assembly, scaffold: SCTD_scaffold0003704
AUCCAGUUGACGAGUCCCAAAUAGGACAAAACGCGAGUCCUGGAU